GCAGCACGGUUUUCGGACUGGUGGCGACCGGCGCACGGGUGCGUAACGCGUAUGCAACCUACCCACUACAGGGGGAUAGCCCAGAGAAAUUUGGAUUAAUACCCCAUGGUAUCAUAGAGAGGCAUCUUGAAAUGAUUAAAGAUUUAUUGGUAGUGGAUGGGCAUGCGUUGGAUUAGCUAGUUGGUUGAGGUAACGGCUCACCAAGGCAACGAUCUAUAGGGGUUCUGAGAGGAUGAUCCCCCACACUGGCACUGAGAUACGGGCCAGACUCCUACGGGAGGCAGCAGUAGGGAAUAUUGGUCAAUGGGCGAGAGCCUGAACCAGCCAUGCCGCGUGCAGGAAGACGGCCUUCUGGGUUGUAAACUGCUUUUAUACGGGAAGAAAAGGGUCCUGCGGGACACAUUGCCGGUACCGUACGAAUAAGCACCGGCUAACUCCGUGCCAGCAGCCGCGGUAAUACGGAGGGUGCAAGCGUUGUCCGGAUUUAUUGGGUUUAAAGGGUGCGUAGGCGGGCCUUUAAGUCAGUGGUGAAAGCCUGCAGCUUAACUGUAGAAUUGCCAUUGAUACUGGGGGCCUUGAGUAUAGAUAAGGUAGGCGGAAUUGAUGAUGUAGCGGUGAAAUGCAUAGAUAUCAUCAGGAACUCCGAUUGC
rnacentral:rRNA from 1 species